rnacentral:rRNA from 1 species
GACGUAGGGGGCCAGCGUUGUUCGGAAUUACUGGGUGUAAAGGGUUCGUAGGCGGUGUGGCAAGUCGGGAGUGAAAUCUCUGGGCUCAACUCAGAGACUGCUUCCGAAACUGCUGUGCUGGAGUGUGGGAGAGGCGCGUGGAAUUGCAGGUGUAGCGGUGAAAUGCGUAGAUAUCGGGAGGAAUACCGAUGGCGAAGGCAGGUCUCUGGGCUGACACUGACGCUCAUGCACGAAAGCGUGGGGAGCAAACAGG